GACGAGCGCUGGUGGCGUGCCUAAUACAUGCAAGUCGAACGAACUCUGGUAUUGAUUGGUGCUUGCAUCAUGAUUUACAUUUGAGUGAGUGGCGAACUGGUGAGUAACACGUGGGAAACCUGCCCAGAAGCGGGGGAUAACACCUGGAAGCAGAUGCUAAUACCGCAUAACAACUUGGACCGCAUGGUCCGAGUUUGAAAGAUGGCUUCGGCUA
rnacentral:rRNA from 1 species